rnacentral:lncRNA from 10 species
GAGAAUGUCCAGAGUCAAUGGAAACUCACUUCUCUGUUUCCCGCUGGUGGCAGUUUCAUAUCUGAGGGGUUCAAGUCCUCAAAUUUCCUUUGACUGUACCCCUCAAAACCAUAAUAAGGCGUGAGCCACCGCGCCCGAUGAAGGGUUAUUAUUAUUUUUUUUAAACUUUACCGUGGAAACUUUCAAACAUGAGCAAAAUAAGAGGAUAAUACAGUUCAGCCCCCAGGCAACCAUAAACAUAUGCCUAAUCUUGUUUCAUCAAUUACUACAGACCUGCUGAAUUAUUAUAAAGCAAAACUAUAUCAUUUUAUCUGUAAAUACUUUAGUAUAUAUUUCCAAGAGAUAAUGAUUCUUUAAAAAAACAUAACCACAACCCCACC